rnacentral:rRNA from 1 species
GACGAACGCUGGCGGCAGGCCUAACACAUGCAAGUCGAACGAGUGGCGGACGGGUGAGUAAUGUCUGGGAAACUGCCUGAUGGAGGGGGAUAACUACUGGAAACGGUAGCUAAUACCGCAUACCAUCGGAUGUGCCCAGAUGGGAUGAGCUAGUAGGUGGGGUAACGGCUCACCUAGGCGACGAUCCCUAGCGGGUCUGAGAGGAUGACCAGCCACACUGGAACUGAGACACGGUCCAGAUUCCUACGGGAGGCAGCAGUGGGGAAUAUUGCACAAUGGGCGCAAUCCUGAUGCAGCCAUGCCGCGUGUAUGAAGAAGGCCUUCGGUUUGUAAAGUACUUUCAGCGGGGAGGCGUUACCCGCAGAAGAAGCACCGGCUAACUCCGGGCCAGCAGCCGCGGUAAUAC